rnacentral:rRNA from 1 species
UACGUAGGGUGCGAGCGUUAAUCGGAAUUACUGGGCGUAAAGCGUGCGCAGGCGGCGCGUUAAGACAGGUGUGAAAGCCCCGAGCUUAACUUGGGAAUUGCGCUUGUGACUGGCGAGCUGGAGUGUGGCAGAGGGAGGUGGAAUUCCACGUGUAGCAGUGAAAUGCGUAGAGAUGUGGAGGAACACCGAUGGCGAAGGCAGCCUCCUGGGCCAGUACUGACGCUCAUGCACGAAAGCGUGGGGAGCAAACAGG